rnacentral:rRNA from 1 species
ACGUACACUCCUACGGGAGGCAGCAGUGGGGAAUAUUGGACAAUGGGCGCAAGCCUGAUCCAGCCAUGCCGCGUGAGUGAUGAAGGCCCUAGGGUUGUAAAGCUCUUUUGUGCGGGAAGAUAAUGACGGUACCGCAAGAAUAAGCCCCGGCUAACUUCGUGCCAGCAGCCGCGGUAAUACGAAGGGGGCUAGCGUUGCUCGGAAUCACUGGGCGUAAAGGGUGCGUAGGCGGGUCUUUAAGUCAGGGGUGAAAUCCUGGAGCUCAACUCCAGAACUGCCUUUGAUACUGAAGAUCUUGAGUUCGGGAGAGGUGAGUGGAACUGCGAGUGUAGAGGUGAAAUUCGUAGAUAUUCGCAAGAACACCAGUGGCGAAGGCGGCUCACUGGCCCGAUACUGACGCUGAGGCACGAAAGCGUGGGGAGCAAACAGGAUUAGAAACCCCGGUAGUCCCAUGAU